CGCAUGUUUUAAAUCGGUCAUACUUGCACACGAUGUAAAAAAGUAAUCUAACAUCGUUUUACGAAAAUACCGAUUUAAAUGUAUGUCAUUAACAUCAGUUCUUAAAAUGACCGGUGUUAAAAGUUUUGUUCGAAAAUUUGCGGGAACCUAUUUUUGCAAAUAGCGCUAAGUGUUUAAGUGAAUUGAAGGAAGCGGGUUCUAAAACUCAAAAUUCUCACACUUAGAAAAAAAAGCGCCCAACCCCAAAACUGAAACAGAAACCCUAACUCGAGCUCUAUCUCGACUCUCGACCUCCUUUCUGAACCAUACUCGAGCUCCUCCCAAACUCGAGCUCCUCCUCCUCAGUCGCCGCCAUUGUUACCCUCAUCGACUCCUUCAUCUACCUCCUCGUCUUCGUCUAGUCCUUCAUCUCACGCACCUCCCACUACGACGACGAGGUGCUCAUCAACUGCCGCUGCUGCCCUCCCCCAGCCAAACCCAAAUUCGUCCACACCGACCCCUCAUUGUGCUUCGAGGAGGACGAGGACAUCAUCCAAGCCGUUCUAAAUGGCGGCGUUCCUUCUUAGUCUCUCGAAUCGAAGCUCGGCGACUGCAAUAUCAUAGCGGCGAUUCGGUGCGAGUGGCUUCAGAGAACGACUAGGAGGUCACUAUAGGGUUUACCUCUCGAAGGUUUCGAUUACGACUCCAUUCUUGGACAGUGCUGCGAGUCGCCGGUCGGAGACGAAGUAAUAUUUAUAGAGUUUAAGAAGCUCGAGUUUGUGGGUGGGUUGAAGAACUGUGAAUUUUUGGAGAAAGUCAAGUCCAGCUUGGUUCUCAAUUUGCACUCAAUUUAUACAUUGUUUUCCAUGAGUUGGUGGGUCGACCGGCUUCCUUGUUGUACGGAAAGGAAAAAGUGAGGGUAUUUUAUGCUGUUAGGAUCUUUCUUGGUCUCAUCUCUGUUAUUACUGAAACCAUUCUAGUUUAUGCUCUGUCAAGAAAGUAUGGAAAAUGUCUUGCCUCGUAUACUUGCCAUGCUAUGCUUAACCAACGGUUGUUUCUUUGCUAGUACAAGUUUCUUGCCAAUUUCGUUCUCUAUGUAUGCUGUGACUGGUAAGUGAACUCUGCUCAUAACUAGUUACAGUUUCUUAUCGAACCUUUGUUAAAGUAACAAAGAUUAAAUCCAGAAACCUUUUCUUUUUUUUUGGGUACUUACAAGUUACAAUUGGGUAAUGGGUUCUGAAAUCUUUUUGUGAUAAUAGGUUUCUGGUCUCAAUUUAGUCCUUCUUUUUCAUUUCUUUACUCUUCAUUAAAGUAUACAGAAUAUUGAUGUUAGUCAUGUUACUCAUAAUUAGUAAAAGAUGCAGAUCUACAAAUUCACAAACGUAAUUUUAGUGUAAAUACUUAAGUUUUGGAUGCUCAAGAGGUGGGAUACCUACAUUACUACUUCAUAUUAGGUCACAAGAUUGUUCAGCUGCAGUCCGUAGUUUGGCUAUAGUUUUUAUUACUAAAAUGUACUUGCAUUUAGCUCGGUCAAGUUUAUUGAGUUGUCAAAACACGGUAGAUGCUUCGUAAGUAGUAGCUUAAUUGGCUACCAUAUCUUAUGUUAGUUAUGCCUGAAAAGUCCCACUGUUUCAUUUGUCAAACUUCUGAGAAUCUCUUGAUGUGUAUUCUCUGUGUGGCUUUGUUGGUUGUGGGAGGUAAGAAAUUUUUUCUUGAUCUCUCUCUCUCUCUCUCUCCCUCCCCCCGUGUA